rnacentral:rRNA from 1 species
UACGUAGGGGGCAAGCGUUGUCCGGAUUUAUUGGGCGUAAAGAGCGUGUAGGCGGCCAAGCAGGUCCGUUGUGAAAACUGGAGGCUUAACCUCCAGACGUCGACGGAAACCGCGUGGCUAGAGUCCGGAAGAGGAGAGUGGACUUCCUGGUGUAGCGGUGAAAUGCGCAGAUAUCAGGAAGAACACCAAUGGCGAAGGCAGCUCUCUGGGACGGUACUGACGCUGAGACGCGAAAGCGUGGGGAGCGAACAGG